rnacentral:rRNA from 1 species
UACGUAGGGUGCGAGCGUUGUCCGGAAUUAUUGGGCGUAAAGGGCUCGUAGGCGGUUUGUUGCGUCGGGAGUGAAAACCUCGGGCUUAACUCGGGGCUUGCUUUCGAUACGGGCAGACUUGAGGCAUUCAGGGGAGAACGGAAUUUCUGGUGUAGCGGUGAAAUGCGCAGAUAUCAGAAGGAACACCGGUGGCGAAGGCGGUUCUCUGGGAAUGUUCUGACGCUGAGGAGCGAAAGUGUGGGGAGCGAACAGG